rnacentral:rRNA from 1 species
UACGAAGGGGGCUAGCGUUGCUCGGAAUGACUGGGCGUAAAGGGCGCGUAGGCGGCUUGCACCGUCAGAUGUGAAAUUCCUGGGCUUAACCUGGGGCUGCAUUUGAUACGUGUGGGCUUGAGUGCGGAAGAGGGUCGUGGAAUUCCAGUGUAGAGGUGAAAUUCGUAGAUAUUGGGAAGAACACCGGUGGCGAAGGCGGCGACCUGGUCCGUGACUGACACUGAGGAGCGAAAGCCAGGGAGCAAACGGG